rnacentral:pre_miRNA from 7 species
UCCUAAAAGGAUACUGAAAGACCCUCGAAGGGAGACCCUCACUCAAGCCUCGGGACAGCCGCGGACCCAAGAAGACACUGAGACCG